UAUUGUUCUUAUAGUUGAGUUACAACGAUGAUUUUUCAUGUCAUUGGCCGUGGGUAAACCACGUAAGAAUA
rnacentral:tRNA from 1 species